rnacentral:lncRNA from 1 species
CAGAAAAAUACUGCAAGUAGAAUAAGGCGGGAAUUCUCCCUCUCUCUAAAUUCCAUACGUAACUGCAACCAGGCCUAAUUGCCAUGGGGAUCGAUCCCUCUUUCAGUAUAUUAACAGUACGAAUUCCACUCCCAAUAUACACAUAUUCAUACACACAAUCACUGAAAUUUAACGCUCUAACAGAAAAAUGGAAAACUCUAAUGGUGAUGUGAAGGCCCAUAUAUCUGCUGUUAUAUUUGAUUUGGAUGGAACCCUAUUAAGCACAGGUGUGUAAUUUCACUUCUUUUUCUUGAUUUCUGCAAAACUGGUGGUUUGGAUGCAUAAUUAUGCGAUUGAAUGUUUUGCAGAGCAAGUGACAAGGGAUAUUCUGAAGGAUUUCUUAGCAAAAUAUGGUAAGAUGCAGGAUAAGGAGAAGGAGAAGAAGAGAUUGGGUAUGGUCAACAAAGAAGCGGCAAUUGCCAUUGUCAAUGAUUAUGAACUUCCGCUCACGCCUGAACAGUUUACCCUGGAAAUCAUGCCCAUGUACCAUGGUUUGUAAGUACAAAUACUUCUAUCUCCACUUAAGAACGCUGAACACGUAUACAUUUUAUAAUAAGAGGAUAUUGCAUUAAUUGUUCGAAGUUGUAAAUUUUCUUUAUGUAAAAUCAAUUUUUAUGAAUCGAUUAUUACGUGGACGAAAAUUAAAAUUAAGCAGUAAAAAAUUCGUUUGUGGUUUGUAAUAAUGUGAUAGAUGAGUUUAG